rnacentral:rRNA from 1 species
AUGCAGGGGUUGCAGGCGCGCAAGGAGAGGAGCCCUGCAGAGUUGGAGGGUUCGCCGGCGCUGGGAAAGUGGAACGAGUCCGGGAGGAGCUCACCGGCGCAACGUAUGCCGGGGCCAGCGGGCAACGCGAGCGGAGAGGGGCGAGGCAUGGAGGAUGCGUGGCGAAGGCAGGCAGGAGAGACAGGGGAUCGAGGACUGGGGCACUACGAGGGAGAUCGAAGCGAGGGAAAAGGGGAUCGAGCGCGGAGCGGCCAUCUCCUGGCAUAUUUCCUUCAGAACGAGUCCGGGAGGAGCUCACCGGCGCAACGCUUGCCGGGGCCAGUGGGCAACGCGAGCGGAGAGGGGCGAGGCAUGGAGGAUGCGGGGCGAAGGCAGGCAAGAGAGACAGGGGAUCGAGGACUGGGGCACUGCGAGGGAGAUCGAAGAGAGGGAAAAGGGGAUUGA